UGACCACUUCCCCAGGGAGUCUGUUCCAGUGCCAACCACCUUUUCCUGAUAUCCAACCUAAGCCUCCUCUGAUUCAACUUCUUGGACAAAGUAGGACUGGCAGUAGAUUAAUUGCUGCACUGGCAAUUUUCAGUCAAUCAAGGAGCUGUGUCUUAUCUUCUUUGUAGCACUGGAGAAAGCAACAGUCUAUCUUCUUUCCCACAGUAGGAAUUAGUUUUUAUGCAGCUAAAUGGACAGAAGGUUUUCAAGGACUUCAUCCUUACCUCAGAAACUGUUCAGUACCAUAAUGCUCUGUUUGACACACAAGUGUUCUCCCUCAACAAGAGCCAGCUGAGAAGUUACCUCUUCUUGAGGAUCUGCAUAAACAACUUGAAAGUUCAUCGGUGACACUCCUCAUGUAUUUUCCUCCGUCUCUACCUAGCCUAUCUAAACUGAAAAGGAAGCAGAGCUUCAAGAGUACAUUUUCUUCUUGAAAGUGUGUGUCCUGGAAAUAGACUGAUUUCAGUACAACACAUGGCAGAAUAAAGUUCAGGCUCUCCAGUGGGAUUUGGCCUCUGCAGGGAUCCGGUGAAUGAAUUUGAUCAGCUCAGUCAAAGAGGCCUGUGGAUGCCAGUCUGUGAAGACUUCAGAGAUCACAUAACCAGUGUUUCCAGCACCAUUUGGCAAUAACUCAGAGAAGCAAUUACUGUCUCAUAAAAGAAUGCAAGGUGUUGAUUAUUGGCUUAAUUAAGCCUUUUGAUAAGAAGAGGUGGAUUCUCUGACAUUGUUUGAAGGAAACUAUUUGGAAGGAGAUGGUUUCAAGUUUACUGGAGAUUCAUCUCCUCAGAGUGCUAAAGAUUAACUGUUGGGAGCAUCCCCACAAUAAGAGAGAAGCAGACAGUGUGUUUGCUGCCAUAAUGAGAUUGAGACUUCCUUCCUGUUACCACAGGAAGAAGAUGAUUAGUCCCAUCCCAUUCUUUAAAAGGCAAAAGCAAUGGCUGUUCAGAAGCCGAUACAGCUGAUACUGCAGACAAGCACUUUUCAGGGGAGAAGCCAUGGAGAGAAAAGAUUUCAUAAACUAAUGGAAGUGACUGGAAGAGGAAUGGAGCCCAUAAAGAAAGCAGUACUUCCGAAGUAGACAGAUGUUUCCAUAUUGAGCUCUUAAAUAAGUAAUUUUGAAAUCAAAUUUUCAUGGUAACAGCAUGUGGACUCUUCUCAAAAUGGAAAAGGAUAUGGAAAAGAAGAGGAAAGACCUUUCAGGACAUCUGAAUACUGCCUUUUGCCAUCAUAUUUGUAAGAGCCUCUGAAGGGGGAGCUGCUGGUCAGAAUAGGCAAGUAAAAGAUACCACUGAAUUUGGAUUAUGCCUGACCUUGGUUGAAUCAGUUGUUUUCUACAGACUAAACAAAAAUUUGGUCCUAAUUUAUUUGGCACUUUGAGAAUUUUUUUAUUAAAGACUGGUAGCAAGAAUGGCCAAUCUUAGGAUAAAAUGUCCUCAUAUUAGCAUAAGCUCUACUUUGCAACAACUAAAACCUGAGUGUUAUCAUCAUUAUUCUCAUCUCAAUUCCAAAACACCAUUGUACCAGGUACUAGGAAGAAAACUCUAUCCCAGUGAGAAGGACAUGAAGACAGAAACUUAAGUCUAAAAUGCCAUAGCAUACCUCUCAAGCUAAAUGGACUUUCAAAUCAACAGCAGAUAAGAAUGAGAAAUUUUGUAGCUGAUUCAUAUGAUUCCAGACCUUAAUGUAGCUAUAUUGUUUUAUCAUCUCCCCUUUGCAUUGGUAUCGCAAUGCAAAAUGAAAUUCACAUCAUCUACUACAGAAAACUUUAAAAUAAGGCCUCUUUAGAAGCCCAGAGAGUUGUAGCUUUGAACAACUAAAUCCACCAAAAUAUGCUUGAAAAGUCUAAGAUAAGGCAGAUUAUGGUACAACCUCUCAUUCUGAAUAGAAGCAAGGGAACAGGCAAAUGGGGUUAGUCUCUAACUGUGUAGAACAGGAUAAUGAGGUGAGAAACAUCUCUUUUGUAUGAAACAAAAUGAGCAUAACUGCAGGCGCAAAGCCGUAGUCCAUUAAAUAAUACUGUGUUUGUCUGGAAUUGUAAUAAAACAAAAUUAAAAAGUAAAAUCAUGUCAUUAUCUUGUUUUCUGUAGAAAAUGGGAAGUCACAGCUACUUGUAUGUAGCUAGGGAUUUCUGGGGAACACAAACAACUGGUUAAAUGACAAAAAUUGCAGAGCAAUUAAGGACAGAGAAGCAAAGAGUACAAAUCAUGCAAAUCAAGGCUCUCUGCUGAAAAGUUUGCUUGAAAGUAAGACAAGGAGAUGUGAAGAAAAGCAUACUUAGGAUUCAAGAGAGAGGGGAGAUACCUACACAAGAAUUCAGCCAUGUCAAUGUCAACAUAAAGGGAAAAAAAAAGAAAAACCAGCUGUGAAUAAACUUUUCCCAGAAUAACUUCAUUCAGGAAAGUAUUAUUUCUUGGCUUAGGAAACCACUAUUGAAUGCUGUGAAAGAACAGUGAUUCACAAGUCUGUGCUGGACACUGAUGUGGUGUCACUCCACUACCCUGCCUGUGAUUCAGUCACCAGACAAAAUGCCUAGGCAGGAGAAUCUCGAGAAAUUGUAGAAUGACCAAUGGAAGAGACUUUGUUUAUUAUCCUCACUUGGGAGCUAGGGAACAGAAAAUAUAACAUCCAUUUCUCCUUUGUGCCAAUAAUGAAAAUUGUAUUUUUCGUAAGUUUUGGAAUGGUUGUUUCAUGGUCUUCCCCUUGUUCCCACUACCAUCUGGAAAACUUGGAGACAGAACACAUUUUCAUUCAGCUUUGCAAAAAAGGUCUGAUUCCAGCUUAGGCCAGGGAUGUCAGAGGACUGAAGUCAUUGGAACAUGGACAGGAGAAAAAUCCUUGCACUAGUGGCUCUUAGAAUCAGUGAAGCAAGACACCAGGUGAAACAUACAUCUCCUCACUCUUUUUAAAAUUUGGUCUCAUUUUUGUGUUAGUUUGGUGGUUUAUACUAAAACAUGUCAGGGGAAAACUUUCAUUCAGCAAUAUCCUUAACAAUGACGUUCUAGAACCACUGAAGAGCAUCACAGCUCACAGACUGGCACUGAACAGGAGCUUCUUCAGUGCCCUGCAUAUGCUAAGGGUAAGGGGUUAUUUGUGAGCCUAUAGAUUAGUAUCUUCUUUGACUGCUUCCCUGUCAAGUUCCCAAGGACUAGCUACUUACUAACUUUUUGUUUAUAGCCUCUUUUCUUCAGGUAUAUGAAGAUAACUCAUAGUAAAGUGGCCAACAGACAGAGAUUCUGUUACUCAGUAAUUGUGGUAAUGGAAGGCUGAUCUGAUUUCUGGGAAACUGACUGUGAACCUUGGUUCCUAAAUUUCUGGUUAUGUUGUAACUACCUGUCUGUUCUGCACAGAGUGAUACCUCUUUGAGCUGACCUCUGGAAACUGUUCUGAAACUUCUGACAUGAGCAGAAUGUGCUUAAGUUAGCUUUUGUGCAGUAGUUUUUAAGACUAUUUUAUAAACAAUCUCUGUUAAAAACAAGCGAAAACAUAGCUUAUCUAGAAAAGCAUCAUAUAGUUCAAGUCCUUAAUGAUUAUUAAAGAUUUAAAGGAAAAGAACCUGUAGAAAACAAUCACAGAGUGCACAACAAUAUAUUUAUUCUUAGUGGCUGGAAUCCCCUCAGCUUUAUUCCUAAUAGUAGAUUAUUCUACUAUGAUUUAUAUUUUCAACUUAUCUGCACUUUUUAAUCCUUUCGAGGGGCCCAAUAUAGAUGUUACACCUGUAUGUUACACCUGGCUGUAUGUUACACCUGUUUUUAGAUACUAAGCCUUAUAGAGAAGGAUGUUGACUUUUCAUUUGCACCUUCAUAGCUACACCAUUCACUGUGUAUAAACACAAGAAACAGAAUAAAAUUAUUAAUUUAAGAGAUGAUAAAGUAAUAGCAAAAAUAACAGAUGACUAAACUUAUAUAUAUAUCUUUAAAAGAGGUAGUGGUACAGUUGUAUUUAAAAAUGUUCACUGGCUUUGGAAGCAAACAGAAUUUCUUCCAGAACAUAUGAGAAUUAAGUUAUCGUGAAGAGUGAAGGCUUUUAAAUAGGUAAGUCACAACAGCAGCAACAUUAGUAUGACCAGAGGGCAAAACAAGCUUGCUUACUGAUGGUCGCAUAAUCCUGUGUCUGCCUCUUGCUACAAGAGUAAUGGCUUUAUAUAUUCUUUUAACAGCUGUUGAGGAAAAUCUGUAGUCAAAACAACAUUGGCUGAAUUUGUAUUUGAAAUGCUCAGCAUAAAUAAAGACUUGCUUGUGGUGCA